rnacentral:rRNA from 2 species
GUCGAACGAACUCUGGUAUUGAUUGGUGCUUGCAUCAUGAUUUACAUUUGAGUGAGUGGCGAACUGGUGAGUAACACGUGGGAAACCUGCCCAGAAGCGGGGGAUAACACCUGGAAACAGAUGCUAAUACCGCAUAACAACUUGGACCGCAUGGUCCGAGCUUGAAAGAUGGCUUCGGCUAUCACUUUUGGAUGGUCCCGCGGCGUAUUAGCUAGAUGGUGGGGUAACGGCUCACCAUGGCAAUGAUACGUAGCCGACCUGAGAGGGUAAUCGGCCACAUUGGGACUGAGACACGGCCCAAACUCCUACGGGAGGCAGCAGUAGGGAAUCUUCCACAAUGGACGAAAGUCUGAUGGAGCAACGCCGCGUGAGUGAAGAAGGGUUUCGGCUCGUAAAACUCUGUUGUUAAAGAAGAACAUAUCUGAGAGUAACUGUUCAGGUAUUGACGGUAUUUAACCAAAAAGCCACGGCUAACUACGUGCCAGCC